rnacentral:ncRNA from 1 species
AUGGCCGUUCUUAGUUCGUGGAUAUGAUUUGUCUGGUUGAUUCCGAUAACGAGCGAGACUUUUAUGUUAUAUUAAAUAAUAUUAUUAUUAUUUAUUAAUAAUAUUUAUUUUAAUAACAGAUUAAUAGUGUUUAACUAUUUGAGAGAGAGCAAUAACAGGUCUGUGA